rnacentral:lncRNA from 1 species
CCAACAAAAAGAAAAGGAUGGGACGCGUGUCGUGUGUAUGGGUGGCAUCGAGCACGUAUAUGUAUGUAAUCGACCACCACCCAAUCCGAUGAACUCGUCAGGUGAGGCCUAUUAGUUCCUAAAAAGGCCUUGUUUAGUUCCAAAAAUUUGGGCCGAAAUGCAAAACAAGGCCAUUCUCUUUGGGUUUUGGCAAUUUGGCAAAAAACUUCAGGAAGUAAACAAGGCCAAAGUAGAUAAAAUUUUUCAAGAUUUUCCGUCAUAUCAAAUAUUGCGGUAUAUACAUUGAAUAUUAAAUAUAGAUAAAAAUAACAAUUAAUUGCACAGUUUAUCUAUAAAUCGCGAGAUGGAUUUUUUAAGCCUAGUUAGUCUCUAAUUAAAUAAUGUUUGUAAAAUAAAAAUGGAAAACCUACAGUGUCCCAAAACAAAAAAAAAAAUUGAAACGAAACAAGACCUGAGAUCGAUCAUCCACCAGCUUGGCACGCGGCACGCCCUCGCCUAGCUUGACGAAACCCCUAAUCCAUGUGUACUACGUCCGUCGCGCGGUCGCGACUGCAUGCGCCGGACUUGCUGCGAGUUCAGAGCGCCGUGCGCCAGCAGAGGCAGCGGCCAGCGGCCAGCGCUCGGACAAAGCCGACCGCAGCACGCGAGCGGAUUGCGCACACGCCACAACUGCGACCCCUGGCUGUCACGUUUGUUCAGUCCACCACCGACAGUAGCUGAGCUGGCCUCUCCCGCGACCCGCCGCCGACGCGUUUGAUCGGGUUCCGCGAGACCACCACGACGCGACUCCACGCGGGAGCUGAUCGGGCCUCACGCGCACGGCAGCCGCGCCCGGAUCGACCCACAUCCAGGGAGCCCCUGCGCCCAGAUCACGUGCUCUGCUCGCGUCGCGCCGGCCUCAGCGCCACCGCACGCAUGGGCCGUUUCGGUAGAGCAUGCAGCAGAUGCGCCGACUGUUAUUACAGUCGUGUGCUCGCACUUUCCCACACACAGCCCAUGCAUUUGAUGUGCUGUUCGAGCGAGACGAGUUCGUUUGGCUGAUAAGUCAAAGUAUUGUUAGUUAUUUUAUUAUGAAAUAAAACGCUGCUGAAUAAUUUAUGGAUUCGGCUGUUAAGCUGAAAACAGCCUACUCAUACAGACCGUAAGUAUUCGGUCCUC